rnacentral:rRNA from 1 species
UACGAAGGGGGCAAGCGUUGUUCGGAAUUACUGGGCGUAAAGCGUGCGUAGGCGGUUCGCUGUGUCCGAUGUGAAAGCCCCGGGCUUAACCUGGGAAUGGCAUUGGAAACUGGCGGGCUUGAGUGCGGCAGAGGGGGGUGGAAUUCCGCGUGUAGCAGUGAAAUGCGUAGAGAUGCGGAGGAACACCGAUGGCGAAGGCAGCCCCCUGGGUCGACACUGACGCUCAGGCACGAAAGCGUGGGGAGCAAACAGG